GGGCUUGUGGUUUAGUGGUAUAAUUUUCCCUUAGCAUUUGUAUACUGCCUCUGCAGGAGUACGGAAGCGUGGGAAAGGUCCUGGGUUCGAUUCCCAGCAAGUCCA